rnacentral:rRNA from 1 species
UACGUAGGGUGCAAGCGUUGUCCGGAAUUAUUGGGCGUAAAGAGCUCGUAGGCGGUCUGUCGCGUCGGCUGUGAAAUCCCGGAGCUCAACUCCGGGUCUGCAGUCGAUACGGGCAAACUGGAGUACUGCAGGGGAGACUGGAAUUCCUGGUGUAGCGGUGAAAUGCGCAGAUAUCAGGAGGAACACCGGUGGCGAAGGCGGGUUCUCUGGGCAUUAACCUGACGCUGAGGAGCG